GGGAACAUGGCUCAGUGGGCAGCAGCACUUGCUUUGAAAGCAAAAAGUCCUGAGUUCAAAUCCCUAGUUCCCA
rfam:Mesocricetus auratus contig077377, whole genome shotgun sequence.